ACGUAGGUGGCAAGCGUUGUCCGGAAUUAUUGGGCGUAAAGCGCGCGCAGGCGGUCCUUUAAGUCUGAUGUGAAAGCCCACGGCUCAACCGUGGAGGGUCAUUGGAAACUGGGGGACUUGAGUGCAGAAGAGGAAAGUGGAAUUCCACGUGUAGCGGUGAAAUGCGUAGAGAUGUGGAGGAACACCAGUGGCGAAGGCGACUUACUGGACACAUAUUGACGCUGAGGUGCGAAAGCGUGGGGAGCAAACAGGA
rnacentral:rRNA from 1 species